UGGGGAAUAUUGGACAAUGGGCGCAAGCCUGAUCCAGCCAUGCCGCGUGAGUGAUGAAGGCCCUAGGGUUGUAAAGCUCUUUCACCGGUGAAGAUAAUGACGGUAACCGGAGAAGAAGCCCCGGCUAACUUCGUGCCAGCAGCCGCGGUAAUACGAAGGGGGCUAGCGUUGUUCGGAUUUUCUGGGCGUAAAGCGCACGUAGGCGGACUUUUAAGUCAGGGGUGAAAUCCCGGGGCUCAACCCCGGAACUGCCUUUGAUACUGGAAGUCUUGAGUAUGGUAGAGGUGAGUGGAAUUCCGAGUGUAGAGGUGAAAUUCGUAGAUAUUCGGAGGAACACCAGUGGCGAAGGCGGCUCACUGGACCAUUACUGACGCUGAGGUGCGAAAGCGUGGGGAGCAAACAGG
rnacentral:rRNA from 1 species